GAUGAACGCUGACAGAAUGCUUAACACAUGCAAGUCUUUGGCGAAGCUGUGCUUGCACAGCCUAGCCAAGGCGGACGGGUGAGUAACGCGUAAGGAACUUGCCCUGCAGUCAGGGAUAACAGACGGAAACGACUGAUAAGACCUAGUAAAGUCAGGCGGACUCAUGUCCAGCCUGAUGAAAAGAGAUGCUGCAGGAGAGCCUUGCGUCCUAUUAGCUUGUUGGUGGGGUAACGGCCCACCAAGGCGAUGAUAGGUAGCCGGCCUGAGAGGGUGGACGGCCACAAGGGGACUGAGAUACGGCCCUUACUCCUACGGGAGGCAGCAGUGGGGAAUAUUGGACAAUGGGGGCAACCCUGAUCCAGCAAUUCUGUGUGCACGAUGAAGGUUUUCGGAUUGUAAAGUGCUUUCAGCAGGGAAGAAAAAAAUGACGGUACCUGCAGAAGAAGCGACGGCUAAAUACGUG
rnacentral:rRNA from 1 species